rnacentral:rRNA from 1 species
GACGAACGCUGGCGGCGUGCCUAACACAUGCAAGUCGAACGGAAAGGCCUUUUCGGAGGUACUCGAGUGGCGAACGGGUGAGUAACACGUUGGUGAUCUGCCCUGCACUCUGGGAUAAGCCUGGGAACCUGGGUCUAAUACCGGAUAGGACCGCAUCGCAGUGUGAGUGGCGGAAAGUGUUUUCGGUGUGGGGUGAGCCCGAGGCCUAUCAGCUCGUUGGUGGGGUAAUGGCCUACCAAGCCGGCGACGGGUAGCCGGACUGAGAGGUUGGUCGGCCACAUUGGGACUGGGGUACGGGCCAGGCUCCGACGGGAAGGGGCGGUGGGGAAGAUGGCGAGAGGAGCACAGGCCUGAUGCAGCGACGCCGCGGGGGGGAUGGCGGCCUUGGGGUUGUGAACGCCUUUCGCCAUGGGCGGAGCGUUUAGUGACGGUACCUGGAGAAGAAGCCCCGGCUAACUACGUG